rnacentral:misc_RNA from 1 species
GUGAGGUGGUGCACCUUGCCUGUCACGGGGCGCCUGGGGCGGGCCUGAGUGCUUGCUCUUAAGUGUUUCCUAAGUGGCUUGAACGAAAUGAGGGAAAAAAUUAUGUAAAACUAAAACAUGUGUUUUAUUGCUAGAUAUGAAUUUAUAAUUUGCGCCAUAGUUGUUAAAGGCAUGUUCGAGGCACAAGGGCACAAGACACUAGCCCUAGUUUGCCUGGCAUGAUGGGCCCCAACAGGAAAGGUGCACCUCACAAGCGCCUCCAACUUCCGCAAGUUGUGUCACUGGUUGAGGCCACCGUGUCCAUCACCAUUCUCAAAAGUUCCUACUUUUCUAGAAUCCAGUGUUGAUGUGCCAGAAAGCCAUUGUAAUCUUACGAAACCACCACUUCUGAAAUUGUGCGUGGCUAAUAGUUGUGCCUCAGAUCUCUCUCUUCCUACCAUGGUUUCAAAUCGACGUCACGGUCACGUUCGCAAGUAACGAAAACAGGCCUAUAAUGGUCGUAAUGUAACGGUAACGGCAUAACGCUACGCAAAUUUUUUUGAAAA